rnacentral:rRNA from 1 species
GCGUAAGAGCUCGUAGGCGGUUUGUCGCGUCUGCCGUGAAAGUCCGGGGCUCAACUCCGGAUCUGCGGUGGGUACGGGCAGACUAGAGUGAUGUAAGGGAGACUGGAAUUCCUGGUGUAGCGGUGAAAUGCGCAGAUAUCAGGAGGAACACCGAUGGCGAAGGCAGGUCUCUGGGCAUUAACUGACGCUGAGGAGCGAAAGCAUGGGGAGCGAACAGGAUUAGAUACCCUGGUAGUCCAUGCCGUAAACGUUGGGCACUAGGUGUGGGGGACAUUCCACGUUUUCCGCGCCGUAGCUAACGCAUUAAGUGCCCCGCCUGGGGAGUACGGCCGCAAGGCUAAAACUCAAAGGAAUUGACGGGGGCCCGCACAAGCGGCGGAGCAUGCGGAUUAAUUCGAUGCAACGCGAAGAACCUUACCAAGGCUUGACAU